rnacentral:rRNA from 1 species
UACGAGAGGCCCAAACGUUAUUCGGAUUUACUGGGCUUAAAGAGUUCGUAGGCGGCUUGGAAAGUGGGGUGUGAAAGCCCUCGGCUUAACCGAGGAAUUGCGCUCCAAACUACCGAGCUUGAGGAGGCUAGAGGUGAGCAGAACUGAUGGUGGAGCGGUGAAAUGCGUAGAUAUCUGGAGGAAUACCGGUGGCGAAGGCGGCAUCCUGGACCGGCAUUGACGCUGAGGAGCGAAAGCUAGGGGAGCAAACGGG